UACGUAGGGUGCAAGCGUUGCCCGGAUUUAUUGGGCGUAGAGGGCGCGUAGGCGGCUCGGCACGUCCGUUGUGAAAUCGCCCGGCUCAACUGGGCGGGGUCAGCGGAUACGGUCGAGCUUGAGCAAGCUAGGGGGCAAUGGAAUUCCCGGUGUAGUGGUGGAAUGCGCAGAUAUCAGGAGGAACACCGGUGGCGAAGGCGGUUCUCUGGGCAUUACCUGACGCUGAGGAGCGAAAGUGUGGGGAGCGAACAGG
rnacentral:rRNA from 1 species